AUUUAAGGGCUGGCAGUGGAGAUGAGGGUAUCUUGUUGGAGAUUCCUGCCCUCUGAAGACCGUAGUGCUCUCUGAGGCUUUCGCUAGAUUGCUUUGAUUGCUGCAGUAUGUGGGACUCCUCACCACCUUUUCACCUAGGAAAGGAGCAUCUUUGUGGAUAACAGGUUGCAAUGUCUCCUGGCUGCUGGAGUUGUGGCUAUUGGCUGAUAGGGACUAUCAAAGUGGCAUCUGCCAGAGCUUCAGUUGUCCCACCUCCUCCAUACUCACCCAGAGGACAGUAUUUAUAAGCAGUAUUUCCCAGUGACAAUUACUCCCUUUAUUUGUUGCUCCUCUCUCAUCCCCUUAUGGCAACAUCAGUUCUACAGAAACUACCAUACCGGUGAUACCCUGACCACAAUGGGCAGAGGAAAGCACAGAACAGUCAGGUUGCUUUCACCCACAAGGCAGAAAUUUCAAGGAAAUCUAAUCCUCGCACACUUUCUCUUGAAAAGAGAUCUACUGGCAAAUUACUUCUGCUUUCAGCUAGACUUACAACCUCCCAUCUGCUUAUCUGGUUAACACUGUCAGUCACUAAUACUGAGACACCAGGAAAUCUGAUUCCCACUCAUGGUGUGAGAGCAACCUGUAGGCACUUGACCUUUUUAGUGUUCUGUAAUUUGAUUGGGUGGCUGUUCCAUAUUUCCUUGUCACUAGCCCUAGUAAUCUGAGAGGGAGAAGUGGAAAAGACAGCCAGUAAAGAUACAAGACAUCACAAGCGGGAAUUUGUUGAGGCCUCCGGUUUCCAAAAUUGCUCAAAGCAUUUUCCUUAUGGAGAGCGUGGAUGAAGCGUGGCUUGGCUCUGCAACCUGGAAAUGGCUCCUACAGGAGCCCUCUGCUCACAGAGUGGCUACUUGGCCAAAACUCGGCGCAAAGGCCAGUGUUGACUUAUGCCAGAUUUGUGCCUUUUCUGAGACAAUGGUGCAAAGUUCAAUUUUUCACAGUGCACGUCCUAGAGAAACAGCCAGCAAGUGUUCAGCUGAGUUUUUAUAAGGUACCUUGGCAAAACUGGGCCUCCAACCAAGGGCCUAAGGAUCUGUAAUUUUGAUCACUGGGGUGUGAUUGAGCCAAUAUUCUAUAAGGAUUAUGUCCAGGGGUGUUCCUGCUCAGCACAGGGUGCUGAAUGCAAACAUUUCAGUAAAGCCCUCUCUGAUAACUUUCAUAUUCCAGUUCUGGGAAUCCCGAUCAAAUCCCAUUUUAGGUUCCUAUCACCCAAAUUAUCUUUUGAGGAGAUACCCCAAGUUUUGUGGCAUCACAUCCUUUCUCUGUUCUCUGCCAAUAACUGGCUCUUUCAGUGACAGAACUUCCCAAAUUGUUUUGAAGAACUCUUUUCUGAAAAAAAUCAUUAUACCCCAGGAAAUCCAGCUUAAAGGAUUCUUGGAAACUGUAGGAGAUGGGCUCCAAGUCAGACUAAGACUUCAUAUGCUUGCAAUAUCGUGUUGAUAUUUUGUUCUCCUGAAGGUGAUGCUUCUUAUUUCCAUGCACAUGUGUAUAUACAAAGUGCAGCUGAACACCCACAUCCCUCUAACAAUUAUAGGAUGUUGGACAAUUUCAGCUCUCCCAGCCUUGGGUGCUACCUGACCUGCCAGUAUCUCCAAAUCAGUGCUGCUAAUGAAGAAAGGGGAAGCAACCAAUUCUCAUUGAAAUCAGUACCGUGUAAUUUUUGGACUGGAGCCACAGCUGGUGUUACCCUGGCUGAAGAUCUGUUCCUGCUCCUCUGAUUGCUCUGCGUCUGAAAACAUUUCAUGGAAAAGUAAAGCAAAGUUCAGGACUUAUCAUGUACAAUAGAGCACUAUAUAGUGAUUUCUGGGUGCUUAGGAGUCUUUCCAUUGACUUCAGGGCUGUGGCUCAAACCUUUGAUCAGCAAAGUGGGACCAGUGCAGAGACGGGGAAGUUCUCCUGUGCUCUUGGCCCCAUGGAUCCCCUUUGACCUUGUUUGAGUCAAACCUCAAUUUCCAUGGCUGUAAAAGAGUGAUAAGACUAUUUACUGCAAGAUGCCUGAGUACAGAGAGUGCCAAGGAUCAUCCUGACUAAUGACUAGGUGAUGUCACAGGGGAAGGAGUUGCAUAUAAUAAAACAGAUUGUUUUUCACAUGGGUUUACUUGAGUUGCAAGCUGCAAGUACAAGCAUGGGGGUUUACCCUUUGCUGUGUGAUUCUUUUGUAAAUAAAAGAGCAGUUAGAUCACUGUGUUCUAUAGAACAGGUGCUUUGGUGAAAUUGUUAGGUUAUCACUGAGAUAGAAGGAAGCUCCCCAGAGGGAUGGGCAUGCCAAAUUCUCUGUGGGUCCCUGUAGAGUCAGAUGAACAGAGAGCAUCUCUCAGUGACAGAUGAAGCUGCAGGCAGUUACUCAGCUUGGUUCUGUGGGGUGGAUAUGAGAUGUGAGGAGAACAGGACUGCAUGCCAGUGGGCAGCCCCACCAUCCAAGAUUGAGAAGUUCUCCUUUCUGCUAAGCCCUUUCACACUUGGGUUUCAGGCAGUAGUGCCACACUUAGGUUUCAGGUUCUCUUGUGAUGAUAACAUACUCAUCAACAAGCUGCUGCAGAGCGUAGCUCAUCCAGAUGGCUCUGGCCUUGCUUCUCUGCAGGUAAGCUCUCCUCUAGGAGUGGAUGCCAUUGCUCCUGUUGAGAUCAGGCACCAGACAGCGGCACGCAGCCAUCAGCAUUCUGUAGAGGUCCUCUCAAUCUCCAGAACAAAAUAAUGCACUAAUCCAGGCUGCAGAAACCAGAAGGACAGCCUCUGCUUUUACUGAGAACAGCACAGCUCUCUCAGCACAGGUCCGUUAAUUUGCCCUAGAGGUCUCUAAUUCAUGUAUUCUCUGUUUAUUUUUGUUUGCCUUUGUUUCUAAUUGUGGUGUGGCUUUUGGUGGUUGGGUUUCAGUUUGCUCUUUUUCUUUUUACUCUUUCACAACAGUUUUAGCCGCCAUUUCUAUAGGAACAGUAUCUGGAGAGCUCUGGAAACUGAUUGCCAGCAAAAACUGGGAGCUGGUUCAGUCAAGAAAACACAUCCAAGGGGAUCUCUCUGUGGGAUUUGCCCCUCAAAUUACAGUGUGAUGACCAUCUGCCUGCAGGAGGGCCACAUACUCACCUCCCUCAGAGAUAUCUUCUCACUCACUGGUGAUGAGAAGGACUUCACUUCCCCUCUCUGCUGACACAGCACAUACUGUGUAGCCUUGAUCCAGGAUGGAGCUCUUGAUCAUUGCAGUAAUAUACAGUAGAGGUGCCAUUUCUCUCCAUAGAUCAAGCACAUCAGUGCUGUUGACCUGGCCAAAUGGCAAUCUUCAGAAAUUAUAUUCUAUUAAAAGAGAGACUCUGAAAGCAGAGUUGGAGCUCUCUUUGCAACACACCAUGAGCCAUGACUUACUGAUAUUUUUUUUUUUUUCCUGUCCAUAAACCAGUGAAUGCACUGAAGUGAAGAGUAGAAGUGAAGAGAUUCUCUGGUGUCUGUAGAUCCCUAAGAAGGCAGCAUUUUCAAGUGUAAAUUCUCUAGUUAAUCUCUGCAGUGCUUCCGUGGUGUUUGAUAUACUGUGGAGGCUACUAAAUCAACAAACUAUGAAACCAGUUGUAAUGUCUUUUGCCCAGGGAGAUGGUGGGAUCACUAUCUCUGGAGGUGUUCAAGACCUAUGGGGAUGUGGCACUGAGGGGAUAUUGUUAGUAGGUAUGGUGGGAACAGAUUGGGGUUGGGCUUGGUGGUCUUUUCCAGCCUUAAUAAUUCUGUCCUUAUAUGAAGAAUAUAAGGAUGGAGUAGGCAGCUUAUCCUUCAUGAACUGAAUGUUUGGUAGGUCUUCCAUCUUUUGCAACAGCGAGGCUGAUAAAGGAGAUGUGAAGAAAAGACUUUUCUGAGAAACAUACUGAGAAACAUGGUAUGGCCUUUUAGCCUGAGGAGAUUCCAUCAUUGCCAGCACUUCAAGUGAGAUUUACAACUAGCUGAAGGCUCAGCAAAACAAAAUGAGUCCUUACCAGCUGCUCUUAGCUCAUGUUACAACUCACAGACUGAGUGCUGUGUUUCAUAGGAGUUUGCUGUGGCUGCUGAUGCUUUCUGCAUCAAAACUCGUGUUGUUGGUGCUCGUUCUGGUGAGAGCUGUGGAUCUGCAUUCCAGUGUGCUUAGAGGGUAUGGAUGCUCUGAUAAGGAAGAAGUUUUGCUUUUGGAAGACUUUAUUUCUUCUGGAUUUUGCUGACUGGGAUCUCCAGCUCAAGCCUGAAGCCUUUCUGAGAACUCUUAUCAAUAUUCCAGACGCAGUUCAUGUGAGCAGAGAUUCUCCCAUUACAGCAUUGCUCUCCCCACCCAGAACUGCCUUCCCAACAUGUGCCAAAGAUCUCUGGAAAACUAAAUUUAAAUAUAUUGGAGGGCAGGGUAUCUGAUAGAUGUUAUUGGAGACAGCUUGCAGGAGCACAAGCUAUGCUUUUUGUGUGUGAAGCAGGAAAAAGUGUGGCUUUGGGCUAUGAAUCAAACCCUCUUAUUAGGG